UACAGAGGUCUCAAGCGUUUGUUCGGAUUCAUUGGGCGUAAAGGGUGCGUAGGUGGCGCGCUAAGUCAGGUGUGAAAUUUCGGAGCUUAACUCCGAAACUGCAUUUGAUACUGGCGUGCUUGAGGACUGGAGAGGAGACUGGAAUUCACGGUGUAGCAGUGAAAUGCGUAGAUAUCGUGAGGAAGACCAGUGGCGAAGGCGGGUCUCUGGACAGUUCCUGACACUGAG
rnacentral:rRNA from 1 species